rnacentral:lncRNA from 1 species
GACGGCCAUGGAAUUAAGUUAUUAAUGUGAACGGUUCACAUGUAGCAGGGACCCCCUAUGGAUCCCUAUGGAUACUAGUAGACUGAUAAAGAGGAAAAUUAUUGCCUGAUGAUUGAAAUACAAAAGCAUGAUAUGUGUUAUGUUGCAGAGUGUGCGUGAUCUUAUGAUAUUUAUGAUGUAAUUAUUUUCAUGAAUCUCACCGAGGUAGGUGGACAGUAAAGAGUUUUAUUAUUGAUAAAUAAGUUUGUUAUAAAUUAUGCUCCAUUGGUCGUUUUCAUUUUCUACCAACUUUUACUUCUGUGAUAGUGAGAUAGUGUGAUGUCUUUACUGGGCUAGUGUAGCUCAUUCCUUACUUAACCAUUUUAGAUCAGGAGGAUUUGGUUCCCGAGCCCGUUCUGCAGGAAGACGGCGAGUAGAAGCAAAAGAAUUAUUUAGUUU